GAGUUGCAAGAGAUCAAGAUGAGGCAGAUGGCACAUGCAUGGUGGCUAAAUGGAGGAGAUAGAAAUACACAGUAUCUCAAAAACUUCGCUUCGGCAAGGAAGAGGGCAAACCGGAUAAAUAAGUUGAGAAGGGAGGAUGGGGUGGAGUUAGAGGAGGGAGAGGGGAUGUCUAACUAUGUUCUAUCUUAUUUUCAGGAUCUUUUUACGACAAAUGGAAAUAACCAGUUCGAUGACUUGCUCGUCUCCGUCCCUACUAAGGUCACCCGGGCCAUGAAUGAGAGCCUUUUGGCUGAGUUCACUGAUAUGGAAAUAAAAGCGGCAUUAGAUCAUAUUGGGGACUUGAAAGCCCCGGGCCCGGAUGGUAUGCCAACGCUUGUGUUUAAGAAGUUCUGG
rnacentral:rRNA from 1 species